GGGCUCACACAAGCGGUGGAGCAUGUGGCUUAAUUCGAGGCUACGCGAAGAACCUUAUCCUAGACUUGACAUGGUGGAAGUAGCGAGGCGGAAACGUUUUGCGGCCGGUAUCCAAUCCGGAGACCAUCACAGGUGCUGCAUGGCUGUCGUCAGCUCGUGUCGUGAGAUGUCGGGUUAAGUCCCAUAACGAGCGCAACCCACAUCCCUAGUUGCCAGCAGUUCGGCUGGGCACUCUAUGGAAACUGCCCGUGAUAAGCGGGAGGAAGGUGUGGAUGACGUCAAGUCCUCAUGGCCCUUACGGGUUGGGCUACACACGUGCUACAAUGGUAGUGACAAUGGGUUAAUCCCAAAAAGCUAUCUCAGUUCGGAUUGUCGUCUGCAACUCGACGGCAUG
rnacentral:rRNA from 1 species